UGCGGAGGGUGCAAGCGUUGCUCGGCAUUAUUGGGCGUAAAGCGUACGCAGGCUGCGCGUCAAGUCGAGUGUGAAAUCCCGGAGCUCAACUCCGGACGUGCAUUCGAUACUGUCGUGCUUGAGUGCGGGAGAGGGAAGCGGAAUUCCUGGUGUAGAGGUGAAAUUCGUAGAUAUCAGGAGGAACACCGGUGGCGAAAGCGGCUUCCUGGCCCGACACUGACGCUCAUGUACGAAAGCGUGGGGAGCAAACAGG
rnacentral:rRNA from 1 species